GACGGGGUCGGAGAAUGGCCUCCCGUGCGGUAAGUCGGGCGGCCGGCCCCAAUGCGAUCCCCCGGCGGCGCCAGUUGCGACCAGUGGUGGNUGNAACGUCAAAUCGCGUGCUGAUAGUCGUGCGCAUCGGCUGUCCGGUCGGGCAUCACCGCGACCCA
rnacentral:rRNA from 1 species